rnacentral:rRNA from 1 species
GACGAACGCUGGCGGCGUGCUUAACACAUGCAAGUCGUACGGUAAGGCCCUUUCGGGGGUCCACGAGUGGCGAACGGGUGAGUAACACGUGAGUAACCUGCCCACAACUUUGGGAUAACGCUAGGAAACUGGUGCUAAUACUGGAUAUGUGCUCCUGCUGCAUGGUGGGGGUUGGAAAGCUCCGGCGGUUGUGGAUGGACUCGCGGCCUAUCAGCUUGUUGGUGGGGCAGUGGCCUACCAAGGCGGCGAAGGGGAGCCGGCCUGAGAAGGUGACCGGCCACAUUGGGACUGAGAGACGGCCCAGACACCUACGGGAGGCAGCAGGGGGGAAUAUUGCACAAGGGGCGCAAGCCGGAUGCAGCAACGCCGCGGGCGGGAUGACGGCCUUCGGGUUGAAAACCGAUUUCAGCAGGGACGAAGCUUUUUGUGACGGUACCUGCAGAAGAAGCACCGGCUAACUACGUG